ACCAGAAAGUGAGGGCUGCCUUCCUUCUACCCUGCACUUUAUACAGACCUGCCAGUACAAUGCUGUUUGGGCUUCAGCAUCUUGUCUUCCUGUGUUUCUCAGUGACUUGUUUCCUUCCCUGCUUGUGCCGUGUGAGGGCAGCAGAGAUUGUGCUUGGCUAUGUGCUGGCAGCCCGAGUACAGCCGCCUCUUUCACGUUCCCACACUGAACAUCAGCAGGUGAACGGCAAAACGGUAAUGUUUGAAAAUCUAUCUGAGAAUAGCUGCACACUGAUUUCCCUCUCACCCCGUUCCCACCCACCGGUUGAUUUUUAACAUAAAGUUUCUCUAAAGCAAAGAGCGAGCCUGCACGUUUUCAUCCUCCCUGAAACAGAGGGGCAAAUAUUUAUACAUACAUGAAAACAGUGAGCAAACAGGAAGGGUUGGGUGGGCUGUUCCACGGGGCAGUGAUACACAGCAGCCAAAUCCCACAUGCAGCUUUCGUAUCCACGCUCUCUCCGUCAGAGAGUGCACAGCACUGAGAUUUCAGCUGCACCUGACCCCGGAAUUUCACUCUGUUGGACGUGGUGGAACUCAGCAAUUAUUUUACAAGGAAGGAAACGUUGCCAUGCAGCAUCUCACCAGGCCAAACCGCAGCUGGAGCUCUUCCCUUGCACAUCAGAGCGGCUGCCGGGAGGUGGAGCACCGCACCCGCUGCACAUCGUCACCGAGCACCAACCGAGAGCUUCCAGAUCGUCCCCCGCUCCAGCCAGGCUGACCCUAAGCCUCCAUCCACACAAGGUCAGCUGCUUGCUGCCAGCAAAUUAAGCAGAAGGCGUUGCUGCUGGUGUUGCUCAUUACUACCAUUGGUGCAGGUGGGCUCUCUGUUUGCUGGCUGCAGACGUGGGCUGCGCUGCUCUAGCCAAAAGAUGCCUACAGCUUGUUGGAGAAGUGCAGAAGCUCUAGGGGCAAAGCACCCGGGCAUAAAGCCCGUACGUCUGGUGGCAGCACCAGCAAAGAUGGGCGGAUGUUUUAAACUGGUCGACGUCAAGCACUGUGAUUUGGUUUCCUUUGGAUCAUUCUGCCUUGAAAUGACUCUGAUCCAGGUGUUGUUUGCUUAUGGGAACACUGAAAAGCUGCACAUGUACAAGUUUUUCACUUGAAAAACAACGAAAAAAAAGCAACCUAGGAAAAUUCCCAUAAAGGUCUAAGCAAGCAGGCUGUGGCACUGCAAGCAAAACCCUGUGAUUUUAUGUCUUUCCACACCUGUGGUCCAUUUAAGCUAUAAAUCCCAUCUGUUGUGAGCAAGGUUUGCUAUCGAGCAUCCUGAUGAGAGAGGUGAGAUUUGACUGUAAGAACAACAUACAAUGAUUUUUAAUAUUUGGUGUAAUAAAGCCUUCUCCUGCAAA